UACGAAGGGGGCUAGCGUUGCUCGGAAUUACUGGGCGUAAAGGGCGCGUAGGCGGAUGUUUAAGUCAGAGGUGAAAGCCCAGGGCUCAACCUUGGAAUUGCCUUUGAUACUGGACAUCUUGAGUACGGGAGAGGUGAGUGGAACUCCGAGUGUAGAGGUGAAAUUCGUAGAUAUUCGGAAGAACACCAGUGGCGAAGGCGACUCACUGGCCCGUUACUGACGCUGAGGCGCGAAAGCGUGGGGAGCAAACAGG
rnacentral:rRNA from 2 species